GAUGAACGCUGGCGGCGUGCCUAAUACAUGCAAGUCGAGCGAACAGACCCGGAGCUUGCUUCUCUGACGUUAGCGGCGGACGGGUGAGUAACACGUGGAUAACCUACCUAUAAGACUGGGAUAACUUCGGGACACCGGAGCUAAUACCGGAUAAUAUCUUGCACCGCAUGGUUCAAUAGUGAAAGACGGUCUUGCUGUCACUUCUAGAUGGAUCCGCGCUGCAUUAGCUAGUUGGUAAGGUAACGGCCUACCAAGGCAACGAUGCGUAGCCGACCUGAGAGGGUGAUCGGCCACACUGGAACUGAGACACGGUCCAGACUCCUACGGGAGGCAGCAGUAGGGAAUCUUCCGCAAUGGGCGAAAGCCUGACGGAGCAACGCCGCGUGAGUGAUGAAGGUCUUCGGAUCGUAAAACUCUGUUAUUAGGGAAGAACAGAUGUGUAAGGAACUGUGCACAUCUUGACGGUACCGAAUCAGAAAGCCACGGCUAACUACGUG
rnacentral:rRNA from 1 species